rnacentral:rRNA from 1 species
GACGAACGCUGGCGGCGUGCUUAACACAUGCAAGUCGAACGGAAAGGCCUCUUUCGGGGGGUACUCGAGUGGCGAACGGGUGAGUAACACGUGAGUAACCUGCCCUUGACUUUGGGAUAACUUCAGGAAACUGGGGCUAAUACCGGAUAGGAGCUCCUGCUGCAUGGUGGGGGUUGGAAAGUUUCGGCGGUUGGGGAUGGACUCGCGGCUUAUCAGCUUGUUGGUGGGGUAGUGGCUUACCAAGGCUUUGACGGGUAGCCGGCCUGAGGGGGUGACCGGCCACAUUGGGACUGAGAUACGGCCCAGACUCCUACGGGAGGCAGCAGUGGGGAAUAUUGCACAAGGGGUGGAAGCCGGAUGCAGCAACGCCGUGGGCGGGAGGACGGCCUUCGGGUUGGAAACCGCUUUCGCUCAUGACGAAGCUUUGUGUGACGGUAGUGGGUAAAGAAGCACCGGCUAACUACGUG